rnacentral:rRNA from 1 species
GACGAACGCUGGCGGCGUGCUUAACACAUGCAAGUCGAACGGAAAGGCCCCUUUGGGGGUACUCGAGUGGCGAACGGGUGAGUAACACGUGAGUAACCUGCCCUUGACUUCGGGAUAACUUCAGGAAACUGGGGCUAAUACCGGAUAGGAAUCCUUGCUGCAUGGUGGGGGUUGGAAAGCUUCGGCGGUUUUGGAUGGACUCGCGGCUUAUCAGCUUGUUGGUGGGGUAGUGGCUUACCAAGGCUUUGACGGGUAGCCGGCCUGAGAGGGCGACCGGCCACAUUGGGACUGAGAUACGGCCCAGACUCCUACGGGAGGCAGCAGUGGGGAAUAUUGCAAAAUGGGCGGAAGCCUGAUGCAGCAACGCCGCGGGCGGGAUGACGGCCUUCGGGUUGUAAACCGCUUUCAGCAGGGGCGAAGCUUGUGGUGACGGUACCUGCAGAAGAAGCACCGGCUAACUACGUG